rnacentral:rRNA from 1 species
CAGCAGCCGCGGUAAUACAGAGGAUGCAAGCGUUGCUCGGAAUCACUGGGCGUAAAGGGUGCGUAGGCGGGUCUUUAAGUCAGGGGUGAAAUCCUGGAGCUCAACUCCAGAACUGCCUUUGAUACUGAAGAUCUUGAGUUCGGGAGAGGUGAAUGGAACUGCGAGUGUAGAGGUGAAAUUCGUAGAUAUCCGCAAGAACACCAGUGGCGAAGGCGGCUCACUGGCCUGAUACUGACGCUGAGGCACGAAAGCGUGGGGAGCAAAUGGGAUUAGAUACCCCAGUAGUCCCUGUCUCUUAUAC